rnacentral:rRNA from 1 species
UGGGGAAUAUUGCACAAUGGGCGCAAGCCUGAUGCAGCCAUGCCGCGUGUGUGAAGAAGGCCUUCGGGUUGUAAAGCACUUUCAGCGAGGAGGAAGGUGGUGAGCUUAAUACGCUCAUCAAUUGACGUUACUCGCAGAAGAAGCACCGGCUAACUCCGUGCCAGCAGCCGCGGUAAUACGGAGGGUGCAAGCGUUAAUCGGAAUUACUGGGCGUAAAGCGCACGCAGGCGGUUUGUUAAGUCAGAUGUGAAAUCCCCGGGCUCAACCUGGGAACUGCAUUUGAAACUGGCAAGCUAGAGUCUCGUAGAGGGGGGUAGAAUUCCAGGUGUAGCGGUGGAAUGCGUAGAGAUCUGGAGGAAUACCGGUGGCGAAGGCGGCCCCCUGGACGAAGACUGACGCUCAGGUGCGAAAGCGUGGGGCAGCAAACAGGAUUAGAUACCCUGGUAGUCCACGCUGUAAACGAUGUCGAUUUUGGAGGUUGUGCCCUUGAGGCGUGGCUUCCGGAGCUAACGCGUUAAAUCGACCGCCU